GACGAACGCUGGCGGCGUGCUUAACACAUGCAAGUCGAACGAUGAAGCCUUUCGGGGUGGAUUAGUGGCGAACGGGUGAGUAACACGUGGGUAAUCUGCCCUGUACUCUGGGAUAAGCCUUGGAAACGAGGUCUAAUACCGGAUAUUACCUUCUUCCGCAUGGGAGUUGGUUGAAAGUUCCGGCGGUACAGGAUGAACCCGCGGCCUAUCAGCUUGUUGGUGGGGUAAUGGCCUACCAAGGCGACGACGGGUAGCCGGCCUGAGAGGGCGACCGGCCACACUGGGACUGAGACACGGCCCAGACUCCUACGGGAGGCAGCAGUGGGGAAUAUUGCACAAUGGGCGAAAGCCUGAUGCAGCGACGCCGCGUGAGGGAUGACGGCCUUCGGGUUGUAAACCUCUUUCGACAGGGACGAAGCGAAAGUGACGGUACCUGUAGAAGAAGCACCGGCUAACUACGUGCCAGCAGCCGCAGUAAUAC
rnacentral:rRNA from 1 species